AGGUGGCUCUGAGGAGCAGAACAAUGACCCAUGGAAAGAAGCCACUGGGAGGCAGAGUCGGCUCCAAUAAAAAGAGUCAUUCACUCAGCUGGCCAGCAAACACUGGAUGACCACACCUGGGCCAGGCCUUGUGGCAAAUGCUACAGUAAUGACCAGACACAUCACACCCGCCUUCUAGAAGCCCUCCCUCACAAACCGGAUCAACUGCUAUGAUAAAGACAGGCUCAAUGCUUGGAGGGGUGAGAGGAGGCAGCCGUCUUACAACCACAGGUCACAGGAAGACACUAAACAAGGCCGUGUGGAAAGACAGAAGGAGCCUCCAUCCCUCAGCACCACAGAGACAUUGUAUCAGCCUGGAAAUGCCUAAAUCUGAACUUCCUCUUACCUAAGAAAAAUAAAACCUCAAUUUGAUUC